AAAAUUAGUAUCUAAGCCAUGGCUCUCAACAUGAUGCACAAAUAAUCCUGAACAGGAGAAAGAGUUAAAAAAAGUCUUCUACAAUUAUUAAAAAAAAAAUCCAAAGCUCUUACAACAUGGAGAGAGCUUCCUCUUGUUUCUGCUGGAGCAAUACCUGGGACCUGAAGUUAUAUUUGAACGCGUAAGCAGAAAGUCCUAAACAUCCACUGGUCAGAUUUUGUGACCAAUACAUCGGUUCUAGAGCAAGCAGCAG